rnacentral:tRNA from 1 species
GCCGCGGUCGCUUAACCUGGUAUAGCGCGGGAUUGCUAAUUCCGUGUCCGAAAGGGCGUGGGAGUUCAAAUCUCCCCCGCGGCG